rnacentral:rRNA from 1 species
AUUGAACGCUGGCGGAAUGCUUUACACAUGCAAGUCGAACGGUAGAGGGGGCAACCCCUCGAGAGUGGCGAACGGGUGAGUAAUAUAUCGGAACGUGCCCAGUCGUGGGGGAUAACGUAGCGAAAGUUACGCUAAUACCGCAUACGAUCUAGGGAUGAAAGCGGGGGAUCGCAAGACCUCGCGCGAUUGGAGCGGCCGAGAUCAGAUUAGUUAGUUGGUGGGGUAAAGGCUCACCAAGCCAACGAUCUGUAGCUGGUCUGAGAGGACGACCAGCCACACUGGAACUGAGACACGGUCCAGACUCCUACGGGAGGCAGCAGUGGGGAAUUUUGGACAAUGGACGCAAGUCUGAUCCAGCCAUUCCGCGUGCAGGAUGAAGGCCCUCGGGUUGUAAACUGCUUUUGUACGGAACGAAAAGGUCUCUCUUAAUACGGGGGGCUCAUGACGGUACCGUAAGAAUAAGCACCGGCUAACUACGUGCCAGCCGCCGCCGUAA